rfam:Phycisphaerae bacterium SM23_30 WORSMTZ_11388, whole genome shotgun sequence.
GGGGGCGUGGUGUAACGGGAGCACGGCGCGGUCGCAUCGCGCAGAUAGGGGUUCGAUUCCCCUCGCCUCCA